rfam:Oryctes borbonicus contig25492, whole genome shotgun sequence.
UCCAUUGAAUUUUAGCUUGGUGGAGAUGGCAACAUAAGUAUGUACAACCAAAACGUGCUGGGAUCGCACCGUUUUUCCAAUUUGUAGCAGGUUCGAUGGUGUUCUUCUACUUCAUUAACUAUGGCAAAUUAAGCAAGCAUAAGAACUACAA